UACGUAGGGGGCAAGCGUUGUCCGGAAUUAUUGGGCGUAAAGAGCGCGUAGGCGGCCUGUUGCGUCCGCUGUGAAAGCCCGGGGCUUAACCCCGGGUCGGCAGUGGAUACGGGCAGGCUAGAGGUAGGUAGGGGAGAAUGGAAUUCCCGGUGUAGCGGUGAAAUGCGCAGAUAUCGGGAGGAACACCGGUGGCGAAGGCGGUUCUCUGGGCCUUACCUGACGCUGAGGAGCGAAAGCGUGGGGAGCGAACAGG
rnacentral:rRNA from 1 species